GAUGAACGCUGGCGGCGUGCCUAAUACAUGCAAGUCGAGCGAACGGACGAGAAGCUUGCUUCUCUGAUGUUAGCGGCGGACGGGUGAGUAACACGUGGAUAACCUACCUAUAAGACUGGGAUAACUUCGGGAAACCGGAGCUAAUACCGGAUAAUAUUUUGAACCGCAUGGUUCAAUAGUGAAAGACGGUUUUGCUGUCACUUAUAGAUGGAUCCGCGCCGCAUUAGCUAGUUGGUAAGGUAACGGCUUACCAAGGCAACGAUGCGUAGCCGACCUGAGAGGGUGAUCGGCCACACUGGAACUGAGACACGGUCCAGACUCCUACGGGAGGCAGCAGUAGGGAAUCUUCCGCAAUGGGCGAAAGCCUGACGGAGCAACGCCGCGUGAGUGAUGAAGGUCUUCGGAUCGUAAAACUCUGUUAUUAGGGAAGAACAAAUGUGUAAGUAACUAUGCACGUCUUGACGGUACCUAAUCAGAAAGCCACGGCUAACUACGUGCCAGCAGCCGCGGUAAUACGUAGGUGGCAAGCGUUAUCCGGAAUUAUUGGGCGUAAAGCGCGCGUAGGCGGUUUUUUAAGUCUGAUGUGAAAGCCCACGGCUCAACCGUGGAGGGUCAUUGGAAACUGGAAAACUUGAGUGCAGAAGAGGAAAGUGGAAUUCCAUGUGUAGCGGUGAAAUGCGCAGAGAUAUGGAGGAACACCAGUGGCGAAGGCGACUUUCUGGUCUGUAACUGACGCUGAUGUGCGAAAGCGUGGGGAUCAAACAGGAUUAGAUACCCUGGUAGUCCACGCCGUAAACGAUGAGUGCUAAGUGUUAGGGGGUUUCCGCCCUUUAGUGCUGCAGCUAACGCAUUAAGCACUCCGCCUGGGGAGUACGACCGCAAGGUUGAAACUCAAAGGAAUUGACGGGGACCCGCACAAGCGGUGGAGCAUGUGGUUUAAUUCGAAGCAACGCGAAGAACCUUACCAAAUCUUGACAUCCUCUGACCCCUCUAGAGAUAGAGUUUUCCCCUUCGGGGGACAGAGUGACAGGUGGUGCAUGGUUGUCGUCAGCUCGUGUCGUGAGAUGUUGGGUUAAGUCCCGCAACGAGCGCAACCCUUAAGCUUAGUUGCCAUCAUUAAGUUGGGCACUCUAAGUUGACUGCCGGUGACGAACCGGAGGAAGGUGGGGAUGACGUCAAAUCAUCAUGCCCCUUAUGAUUUGGGCUACACACGUGCUACAAUGGACAAUACAAAGGGCAGCGAAACCGCGAGGUCAAGCAAAUCCCAUAAAGUUGUUCUCAGUUCGGAUUGUAGUCUGCAACUCGACUAUAUGAAGCUGGAAUCGCUAGUAAUCGUAGAUCAGCAUGCUACGGUGAAUACGUUCCCGGGUCU
rnacentral:rRNA from 1 species